rnacentral:rRNA from 1 species
AGAGUUUGAUCAUGGCUCAGGAUGAACGCUAGCGGCAGGCCUAAUACAUGCAAGUCGAACGAGAUUGAAGAGCUUGCUCUUCAUGAAAGUGGCGCACGGGUGCGUAACACGUAUGCAACCUACCUUCAAUUGGGGGAUAGCCUUCCGAAAGGGAGAUUAACACCGCAUAAAACAGCAGAAUGGCAUCAUUUAACUGUUAAAACUCCGGUGAUUGAAGAUGGGCAUGCGUUGCAUUAGCUAGUUGGUAAGGUAACGGCUUACCAAGGCUACGAUGCAUAGGGGAUCUGAGAGGAUGGUCCCCCACACUGGUACUGAGAUACGGACCAGACUCCUACGGGAGGCAGCAGUAAGGAAUAUUGGUCAAUGGACGCAAGUCUGAACCAGCCAUGCCGCGUGCAGGAUGACGGCCCUAUGGGUUGUAAACUGCUUUUGUCAGGGAAUAAAUCAUUUUACGUGUAAGAUGUUGAAGGUACCUGAAGAAUAAGGAUCGGCUAACUCCGUGCCAGCAGCCGCGGUAAUACGGAGGAUCCAAGCGUUAUCCGGAUUUAUUGGGUUUAAAGGGUGCGUAGGCGGUAAAUUAAGUCAGAGGUGAAAGCCUGCAGCUCAACUGUAGAACUGCCUUUGAUACUGGUUUACUUGAGUACAGAUGAAGUGGGCGGAAUGUGACAAGUAGCGGUGAAAUGCAUAGAUAUGUCACAGAACACCGAUUGCGAAGGCAGCUCACUAAAGUGUAACUGACGCUGAGGCACGAAAGCGUGGGGAUCAAACAGGAUUAGAUACCCUGGUAGUCCACGCCCUAACGAUGAUUACUCGCUGUCGGCGAUAUACAGUCGGCGGCUAAGCGAAAGCGUUAAGUAAUCCACCUGGGGAGUACGGUCGCAAGAUUGAAACUCAAAUGAAUUGACGG